rnacentral:rRNA from 1 species
GUUUGAUCCUGGCUCAGGACGAACGCUGGCGGCGUGCUUAACACAUGCAAGUCGAGCGGGGUCCAACCACUCGCAAGAGUGGGGAAGACCUAGCCGGCGAACGGGUGAGUAACACGUGAGGAACCUGCCCCAGAGACCGGGAUAACCCUCCGAAAGGAGAGCUAAUACCGGAUGCCGUCAUCGGAUCGCAUGGUCUGAUGACGAAAUGGAUUCCGCUCCGGGAGGGCCUCGCGGCCUAUCAGCCUUGUUGGUGAGGUAACGGCUCACCAAGGGCGUCCGACCGGGUAGCUGGUCUGAGAGGACGAUCAGCCACACUGGGACUGAGACACGGCCCAGACUCCUACGGGAGGCAGCAGUGGGGAAUCUUGCGCAAUGGGCGAAAGCCUGACGCAGCAACGCCGCGUGGGGGAUGAAGGCUUUCGGGUUGUAAACCCCUUUCAGCAGGGACGAUUAUGACGGUACCUGCAGAAGAAGGACCGGCCAACUACGUGCCAGCAGCCGCGGUAAUACGUAGGGUCCAAGCGUUGUCCGGAUUUAUUGGGCGUAAAGAGCUCGUAGGUGGUUCGCUAAGUCGGAUGUGAAAACUCGGGGCUCAACCCCGAGACGCCAUCCGAUACUGGCGUGACUUGAGUCUGGUAGGGGAGAUCGGAAUUCCUGGUGUAGCGGUGAAAUGCGCAGAUAUCAGGAGGAACACCGAUGGCGAAGGCAGAUCUCUGGGCCAGUACUGACACUGAGGAGCGAAAGCGUGGGUAGCAAACAGGAUUAGAUACCCUGGUAGUCCACGCCGUAAACGUUGGGUACUAGGUGUGGGGACCUAUCGACGGUCUCCGUGCCGCAGCUAACGCAUUAAGUACCCCGCCUGGGGAGUACGGCCGCAAGGCUAAAACUCAAAGGAAUUGACG